ACAGCAGUAGCCGCGGUAAUACAGAGGGUGCGAGCGUUAAUCGGAUUUACUGGGCGUAAAGCGUGCGUAGGCGGCUAAUUGAGUCGGAUGUGAAAUCCCCGAGCUUAACUUGGGAAUUGCAUUCGAUACUGGUUAGCUAGAGUGUGGGAGAGGAUGGUAGAAUUCCAGGUGUAGCGGUGAAAUGCGUAGAGAUCUGGAGGAAUACCGAUGGCGAAGGCAGCCAUCUGGCCUAACACUGACGCUGAGGUACGAAAGCAUGGGGAGCAAACAGGAUUAGAUACCCCUGUAGUCCCUGUCUCUUAUAC
rnacentral:rRNA from 1 species